ensembl:lncRNA
UACCUGUGCAACCUGGUCCAGGGAGCCUGCUUUGGCAGGGGGAGUGGACUCGAUGAUCGCUAGAGGUCCCUUCCAGCCCCUACAAUUCUGUGAUUCUGUGAUUCCUACACCUCCUGCAUGCAGACAGCCCUUUGAAUUCAUGCUGAGCCCUGUGAGCCUGCCCUGAGUCCUGCCAGCCCCUGCUUCUGGCUCUGCCACGGCACUGAAGGAGCUCUCAAAGCAGAGCUGCAGGCAUUGGCCCCAGGGUCGUGGUUUUCUCUCCAUGGGUCUGUUCUGCUGUCUGGGGCAUCUUCCUACGCACGGCACAGGCCUUGGUCUCUCUGUAGGUGGGUGAGGAGCAGAGAUCCAGCACCUCUUAAAGCUUUCACAGAGACUGGCAGCUGAAGCUAGGUCAGUUUAAACAAGAAACAAGACACAGUUAGGUACAUAACGAUGGUUAACUAGUGAAAUAAAUUACUGGGGAGCAAAUGCUGCUAGGCGCGGUGCAGGUUGGUCCCAUGCACUGGCGGUUCUGCAGCUCCAAGGCCCGAAGCACGAGUAACUCUGGGCCUGAGGCAGGAGGUCACUCCGAAGAUGGUGUGGGUGCUGCCGGCCCGGCGUUCUGCUGCUCUCUGGAAAUGGUGUGUCAGAGGGUUUUUCUCUCCACAGCCAGACUGGGAGCUUGAAGUGCACAUGGUUACUGACAACUCCCAACUGUCAGUAAAGCUGUUCCGCAGAAAGUGUUACAUGACUGAUGUCUCUACAACUGCACUUUUCCAAACAGAUGGGGGGAAAAAAAAGGCACCGGUCUCGAAUCAAAUUAGUCUUGACAGAUUACGCAAAAGAAAUUGAACACACGCUCCACAUUUUGGGCAACUUCUAAAUAUAAUGUCUCCAUUGAAAACAAAGUAUACGGCGGCGCUAAAAAUGUGUAAAUAUAGAGCUAUAAAACUUUCCUCACAUUAUAGACUGAGGACCACUGUGAGGGGCUGUAAAAGCAGCAUCUGCGUGGGGCGGGAGGCCCCGAGAGCGGCCACACCUUGUCCAGCGCACAGAUAAGCUCGCUUUUGAAAGCUCCCUGUUUGCCUUACAGAGCUUUGUCUAUUCAGAACACGGGGCAAAGAUAAAAAUGUUCCCAUUGCAACUGAUGUCACGAUUGCAUUUAGAAAUAAUAAAUCCUUGACAUUACGGAAAAAAAAUUAAAAUAACCCACACGGGAAAAGGUGAUAUUUAUACUCUGUUGCAGCUGGAAACACACUGUAAUAAAGAAUUAACCACUG